AGUCGAGGGGUAUGUUCUUCGGAAUAGAGACCGGCGCACGGGUGCGUAACGCGUAUGCAAUCUACCUUUUGCAGAGGGAUAGCCCAGAGAAAUUUGGAUUAAUACCUCAUAGUAUAGCAGUUUCGCAUGAAACCACUAUUAAAGUCACAACGGCAAAAGAUGAGCAUGCGUCCCAUUAGCUAGUUGGUAAGGUAACGGCUUACCAAGGCUACGAUGGGUAGGGGUCCUGAGAGGGAGAUCCCCCACACUGGUACUGAGACACGGACCAGACUCCUACGGGAGGCAGCAGUGAGGAAUAUUGGACAAUGGGCGCAAGCCUGAUCCAGCCAUGCCGCGUGCAGGAUGACGGUCCUAUGGAUUGUAAACUGCUUUUGUACAGGAAGAAACACUCCCUCGUGAGGGAGCUUGACGGUACUGUAAGAAUAAGGAUCGGCUAACUCCGUGCCAGCAGCCGCGGUAAUACGGAGGAUCCAAGCGUUAUCCGGAAUCAUUGGGUUUAAAGGGUCCGUAGGCGGUUUAGUAAGUCAGUGGUGAAAGCCCAUCGCUCAACGGUGGAACGGCCAUUGAUACUGCUAGACUUGAAUUAUUAGGAAGUAACUAGAAUAUGUAGUGUAGCGGUGAAAUGCUUAGAGAUUACAUGGAAUACCAAUUGCGAAGGCAGGUUACUACUAAUGGAUUGACGCUGAUGG
rnacentral:rRNA from 1 species